rnacentral:misc_RNA from 1 species
GGCAAUUUAGUUUUGCAGGCUUAUCAUCAAUUUGAAGCAUAUUUUUAAUGGCAUAGCUCGCAAUUCGUGAAAAAAUCUUAAAGCAUUUAUUAGCUUCCCUUCCGUUUGAGAGCAAGUAAUAAAUGUGGUUCUAUAAGAGCCGAUGGGGAGUGUACGGAACUUCCCAAAAUUUUAUACGUUGUUAUAUUGAUUGAUCAUGCUUAUUAAUUAGUCUAAGGUGUGGACAUUGAUGAGCGUUAAAGUUAGGUUCAACCAUGCUUUUUGUAUAG